rnacentral:rRNA from 1 species
UACCAGCACCCCGAGUGGUCGGGACGAUUAUUGGGCCUAAAGCAUCCGUAGCCGGUCCUGCAAGUCUUCCGUUAAAUCCAGCUGCUCAACAGAUGGGCUGCGGGGGAUACUACAUGGCUAGAGGGUGGUAGAGGCGAGUGGAAUUCCCGGUGUAGCGGUGAAAUGCGCAGAUAUCGGGAGGAACACCAGUAGCGAAGGCGGCUCGCUGGGCCAUUCCUGACGCUGAGACGCGAAAGCUAGGGGAGCGAACAGG